rnacentral:misc_RNA from 1 species
GAUGAAGAACGCAGCGAAAUGCGAUAAGUAAUGUGAAUUGCAGAAUUCAGUGAAUCAUCGAAUCUUUGAACGCACAUUGCGCCCGCCAGUAUUCUGGCGGGCAUGCCUGUCCGAGCGUCAUUUCAACCAUCAAGCCCCGGGCUUGUGUUGGGGACCUGCGUCCGACGCAGGCCCUGAAAACCAGUGGCGGGCUCGCUGUCCACACCGAGCGUAGUAACUAACCUCGCUAUGGAGUGGCGCGGGCGCCUGCCGUAAAACCCCCAAUUUCACAAGGUUGACCUCGGAUCAGGUAGGAAUACCCGCUGAACUUAAGCAUAUCAAUAAGUGGAGGA